GGGUACGAUCAUACCAACGUUAAUGCACCGGAUCCCAUCAGAACUCUGCAGUUAAGUGCGCUUGGGCUAGAGUAGUACUGGGAUGGGUGACCUCCCAGGAAGUCCUAGUGUUGCACCCU
rnacentral:rRNA from 1 species